CAAAGGUUUGGUCCUGACUUUACUAACAACUCUAGCUAAAUUUACACAUGCAAGUAUCCGCACCCCCGUGAGAAUGCCCCACAGUUCCCCGCCCGGGAACAAGGAGCUGGUAUCAGGCACACAUUUUUGAAGCCCAAGACACCUUGCUUAGCCACACCCUCAAGGGAGUUCAGCAGUGAUAAACAUUAAGCCAUAAGUGAAAACUUGACUUAGUUAAAGCUAAGAGGGCCGGUAAAACUCGUGCCAGCCACCGCGGUUAUACGAGAGACCCAAGUUGUUAGUUAUCGGCGUAAAGCGUGGUUAAGAUAUUUUACCUAGACUAAAGCCGAACAUCUUCAAGGCUGUUAUACGCACCCGAAGACAAGAAGAUCAAUAACGAAAGUGGCUUUAUCCCAUCUGAACCCACGAAAGCUAUGGUACAAACUGGGAUUAGAUACCCCACUAUGCCUAGCCCUAAACAUUGACAGUAUUUUACACCCACUGUCCGCCCGGGUACUACGAGCAUUAGCUUAAAACCCAAAGGACUUGGCGGUGCUUUAGAUCCACCUAGAGGAGCCUGUUCUAGAACCGAUAACCCCCGUUUAACCUCACCCUUCCUUGUUUUUCCCGCCUAUAUACCACCGUCGUCAGCUUACCCUGUGAAGGCCCAAUAGUAAGCAAAAUUGGCACAGCCCAAAACGUCAGGUCGAGGUGUAGCGCAUGGAGGGGGAAGAAAUGGGCUACAUUCCCUGAUACAGUGAAUACGAACGAUACACUGAAAUACGUAUCUGAAGGAGGAUUUAGCAGUAAGCAGAAAAUAGAGUGUUCCGCUGAAAUUGGCCCUGAAGCGCGCACACACCGCCCGUCACUCUCCCCAAGCCCCAUAAAAUAAAAUAACUAAAACCCUACAACUGCAAAGGGGAGGCAAGUCGUAACAUGGUAAGUGUACCGGAAGGUGCACUUGGAAAAAU
rnacentral:ncRNA from 1 species